GAUGAACGCUGGCGGCGUGCUUAUCACAUGCAAGUCGAACGAUGAAGCCCAGCUUGCUGGGUGGAUUAGUGGCGAACGGGUGAGUAACACGUGAGUAACCUGCCCUUAACUCUGGGAUAAGCCUGGGAAACUGGGUCUAAUACCGGAUAGGAGCGUCCACCGCAUGGUGGGUGUUGGAAAGAUUUAUCGGUUUUGGAUGGACUCGCGGCCUAUCAGCUUGUUGGUGAGGUAAUGGCUCACCAAGGCGACGACGGGUAGCCGGCCUGAGAGGGUGACCGGCCACACUGGGACUGAGACACGGCCCAGACUCCUACGGGAGGCAGCAGUGGGGAAUAUUGCACAAUGGGCGCAAGCCUGAUGCAGCGAUGCCGCGUGAGGGAUGACGGCCUUCGGGUUGUAAACCUCUUUCAGUAGGGAAGAAGCGAAAGUGACGGUACCUGCAGAAGAAGCACCGGCUAACUACGUG
rnacentral:rRNA from 1 species